rnacentral:rRNA from 1 species
UGGGAAUUUGGACAAUGGGCGAAAGCCUGAUCCAGCAAUGCCGCGUGUGUGAAGAAGGCCUUCGGGUUGUAAAGCACUUUUGUCCGGAAAGAAAUCCUUGGCUCUAAUACAGUCGGGGGAUGACGGUACCGGAAGAAUAAGCACCGGCUAACUACGUGCCAGCAGCCGCGGUAAUACGUAGGGUGCAAGCGUUAAUCGGAAUUACUGGGCGUAAAGCGUGCGCAGGCGGUUUUGCUAAGACCGAUGUGAAAUCCCCGGGCUCAACCUGGGAACUGCAUUGGUGACUGGCAGGCUAGAGUAUGGCAGAGGGGGGUAGAAUUCCACGUGUAGCAGUGAAAUGCGUAGAGAUGUGGAGGAAUACCGAUGGCGAAGGCAGCCCCCUGGGCCAAGUACUGACGCUCAUGCACGAAAGCGUGGGGAGCAAACAGGAUUAGAUACCCUGGUAGUCCACGCCCUAAANGAUGUCAACUAGUUGUUGGGGAUUCAUUUCCUUAGUAACGUAGCUAACGCGUGAAGUUGACCG